UCUAUGGCCAACAUUUUCCACCCAAAGAUGCAGCCAAGGUGCGGACUGCAGUAAAAAAAUAUGACCUUCCCACUGAGGGAUGGUUGACAUAUAAACCUGUUGGACACCUUGUAAGUUGAGGCUCUUGUUCGAUCAGCUACCAGAGUCCAAACCUCUGUCCAGCCUUUUACCAAAAAUCUGCCUAACCAUCCCUUAGAGUCAUCUGACCAGAUGUGCAGCACUUCUCAAUACUUGACUGAUUCAAGGUACUCAUCAGCCCUGCCGGUCACAUACCCCUGUCAGGGAUCAUCUUUCAAGAAUCAAGAGGAUGCAAGAAAUUUCUGCAAGACAAUUCAUGAAAGACAAGUCUACUUUCCUUAAACAGGAUUUUAUUUUAUUUGGAACUACAUAUUUUUUUUUUAUCUCCACAACAGUUGAUGGGAAACAUCACAUAACUUGUAAAAGAAGUCAAAGAACUCCAUGAGGAAUGGCAGGAAUGCUUCAGACCUUCUUCUAAGCAACCUCUGCCACAUUUGCCUGUCUCAGUCCCUAUGCACAAUACUGAUGAGCUUGAGAGAGCAGAGAUUUUACAGUCUAAUGAAGGCAAAUGAUGGUUAGUCCGUCUAUGUAGACCAUUUAGUUCAUUUUUGAGACUUUUAACUUGUGGUCUCUUUGCUUUGUGUAGACAUUUUGUAGACGCUGGAGGAGCCUCACUGGAUACGAGGGUCCGUCGCAUGCUUUCAUGUGUACCGACAUAUGAGCUGGCAUCCUCUAUGAAUUGGGCUGGGAAGAAGUUUAAAGAGCAGUCGAGGCAAAAGAGGGCAUUCAAGGAUAUUUUUGGAAUAUGUGUAUAUUAGUUGAGUCAUUACUAUAAACGCUUUUGUAUUUUCCUUCAUUUUGCAUUCCCAAAAAAUCCACCUCACUCCAGCCAUUAUUCACCUCUUCCAGUACCUCUAUUAAUGUAUUAAUUUGCAUACAUUUUAUAUCCUGCUGUUGUUGCUGCUUUGAGACAAUGUCUGUUGUGAAAAGCACUAUAGAAAUAAACUUGACUUUUGUUUUGUUUAGAUGCUUUGACUAUGCAGAUGGGUUUGGGUAAGCUGUCCCAAUAUGAAUAUAACCAGGCAGUCCAGAAAUGGCUCCAAUAUGCAACAUACCAUGUGGGUGGAACUGCACAUCAAACGACUACAAUAGUUCUUUUAGUGCCACACGAAACUAAUAUUAUUUUAAGUGCUUCGGUUGACUGAAUUAAAAAAAAAAAGCCACAAAAAAAGUAUUUUGACUGAACUAGAUGUUGAAAAAAUAUCAAAUUAUAAUGUUGAAUGAAUGACUUUUUAAUUCAUUUUUGCUUGAAAUCUCAGUGCAGUUUCAACAAUAAAAA